rnacentral:rRNA from 1 species
UGGUGGAGUGAUUUGUCUGGUUAAUUCCGAUAACGAACGAGAUCGUAAUCUUUAGUUGAGAGCGCCGACUUUUGUUGGUAUCUCUCCUCUUAAAGGGACUGUGCAUGAUUAAUGCAUGGAAGUUUGCGGCAAUAACA